ACGUGAUAUUUAAUUAAACCAACUUGGGGUGUUCAAAUUUGUAAGAUGGCUGAGAUUCAAGCAGUUAAAUCAGUUUGCGUUUCAUGCAAGAAGGAAUGUGGAAGCCAUUUUUGCAAAGUUUGCAAAAAAACGUGCCACGCAAUUCCGCCUUGCUCAACAUCAGCAGGUGAUGAUGAAGGUUUUGGUGCCCAGGUCUUGUGUAGUGGCUGUGCAAAAACUGAGACAGCAGC